AUUGAACGCUGGCGGCAGGCCUAACACAUGCAAGUCGAGCGAGCGGCGGACGGGUGAGUAAUGUCUGGGAAACUGCCUGAUGGAGGGGGAUAACUACUGGAAACGGUAGCUAAUACAGCAUACCAUCAGAUGUGCCCAGGUGGGAUUAGCUAGUAGGUGGGGUAACGGCGCACCUAGGCGACGAUCCCUAGCUGGUCUGAGAGGAUGACCAGCCACACUGAAACUGAGACACGAUCCAGACUCCGACGGGAGGCAGCAGUGGGGAAUAUGGCACAAUGGGCGCAAGCCUGAUGCAGCCAUGCCGCGUGUGUGAAGAAGGCAUUCGGGUUGUAAAGCACUUUCAGCGGUGAGGCGUUACCCGCAGAAGAAGCACCGGCUAACUCCGUGCCAGCAGCCGCGGUAAUAC
rnacentral:rRNA from 1 species